GAUGAACGCUGGCGGCGUGCCUAAUACAUGCAAGUCGAGCGAAUGGAUUAAGAGCUUGCUCUUAUGAAGUUAGCGGCGGACGGGUGGGUAACACGUGGGUAACCUGCCCAUAAGACUGGGAUAACUCCGGGAAACCGGGGCUAAUACCGGAUAACAUUUUGAACCGCAUGGUUCGAAAUUGAAAGGCGGCUUCGGCUGUCACUUAUGGAUGGACCCGCGUCGCAUUAGCUAGUAGGUGAGGUAACGGCUCACCAAGGCAACGAUGCGUAGCCGACCUGAGAGGGGGAUCGGCCACACUGGGACUGAGACACGGCCCAGACUCCUACGGGAGGCAGCAGUAGGGAAUCUUCCGCAAUGGACGAAAGUCUGACGGAGCAACGCCGCGUGAGUGAUGAAGGCUUUCGGGUCGUAAAACUCUGUUGUUAGGGAAGAACAAGUGCUAGUUGAAUAAGCUGGCACCUUGACGGUACCUAACCAGAAAGCCACGGCUAACUACGUGCCAGCAGCCGCCGUAA
rnacentral:rRNA from 1 species